rnacentral:rRNA from 1 species
GAUGAACGCUGGCGGCGUGCCUAAUACAUGCAAGUCGAGCGAACGGACGAGAAGCUUGCUUCUCUGAUGUUAGCGGCGGACGGGUGAGUAACACGUGGAUAACCUACCUAUAAGACUGGGAUAACUUCGGGAAACCGGAGCUAAUACCGGAUGAUAUUUUGAACCGCAUGGUUCAAAAGUGAAAGACGGUCUUGCUGUAACUUAUAGAUGGAUCCGCGCUGCAUUAGCUAGUUGGUAAGGUAACGGCUUACCAAGGCAACGAUGCAUAGCCGACCUGAGAGGGUGAUCGGCCACACUGGAACUGAGACACAGUCCAGACUCCUACGAGAGGCAGCAGUAGGGAAUCGUCCGCGAUGGACGAAAGCCUGACGGAGCAACGCCGCGUGAGUGAUGAAGGUCUUCGGAUCGUAAAACUCUGUUAUUAGGGAAGAACAUAUGUGUAAGUAACUGUGCACAUCUUGACGGUACCUAAUCAGAAAGCCACGGCUAACUACGUG